UAAUACGUAGGGUGCGAGCGUUAAUCGGAAUUACUGGGCGUAAAGCGUGCGCAGGCGGUUUUGUAAGCCAGAUGUGAAAUCCCCGGGCUCAACCUGGGAAUGGCAUUUGGGACUGCAAGGCUUGAGUUUGGCAGAGGAGACUGGAAUUCCCGGUGUAGCAGUGAAAUGCGUAGAUAUCGGGAGGAAUACCGAUGGCGAAGGCAGGUCUCUGGGCUAGAACUGACGCUCAUGCACGAAAGCGUGGGGAGCAAACAGG
rnacentral:rRNA from 1 species